rnacentral:rRNA from 1 species
AUACGGAGGGUGCGAGCGUUAAUCGGAAUUACUGGGCGUAAAGCGCGCGUAGGCGGCCUGUCAUGUUGGGUGUGAAAGCCCGGGGCUCAACCCCGGAAUUGCAUUCAAAACUGGCAAGCUAGAGACCGAGAGAGGUGAGUGGAAUUUCCAGUGUAGAGGUGAAAUUCGUAGAUAUUGGAAAGAACACCAGUGGCGAAGGCGGCUCACUGGCUCGGUACUGACGCUGAGGUGCGAAAGCGUGCGGAGCAAACAGGAUUAGAAACCCCGGUAGUCC